GGGGUCGUAGCUCAGUGGUAGAGCGCUUCCUUUGCAUGGAAGAGGCCGCAGGUUCGACUCCUGUCGACUCCA
rnacentral:tRNA from 1 species